AUUCUAUUCCUUCUUUUCGGGUCGGAUCACUUCGGAUCGGGUAAACUUUUCGGGUCAUGGGCUUCGGACUUCACUAUGUUACAUGGCUUUGAAUGUGCAAUUAAAUAUUGUUUAUGUGUUUUACUUUCAGAUUAUCUUGUCUGAUCUGAUCAUUGACCUUUGAGAAUUGAGACUUCCUUUUCUAUAAACACCAUCUGAUUUUAAAUCAGAAGAAAUCAAAGAGGAGAAAUGACGAAGAUACAGCUCCAUGGAAGAAGCAGGUCUCCAGGUAUUAUAUGUUUGAUCUUUGUUUUUACUUUUAGAUUUUCUUGUCUGAUCUGAUCUUAUCAUUGACCUUUGAAAAUUGAGAGUUUUCUUCUUCUAUAUAAGCAACAGCUAAUUUAAAAUCAUAACAAAUCAAAAGAGGAGAAAUAACGAAGAUACUGCUCCAUGGUAGAAGCAGCAGGUUUGCUGCAGGUGUUAUAUGUUUGAAAAUAUAGUUAAUACUAAUAUGUUAUUG
rnacentral:lncRNA from 1 species